AACGUACGCUGGCGGCACGCCUUAUACAUGCAAGUCGAACGAAGUAGCAAUACUUAGUGGCAGACGGGUGAGUAACAUGUAGGUAUCUUCCCUUUGGUGAGGAAUAACACGAGGAAACUUGUGCUAAUACCUCAUAAGUCUUUACGGAGAAAGCUUUAUGCGCCGAAGGAUGAGCCUGCACUUGAUUAGUUAGUUGGUAGGGUAAUGGCUUACCAAGACUUUGAUCAAUAGCUGAUCUGAGAGGAUGAUCAGCCACAUUGGGACUGAGACACGGCCCAAACUCCUACGGGAGGCAGCAGUAGGGAAUAUUGCACAAUGGAGGAAACUCUGAUGCAGCGAUGCCGCGUGAGUGAAGAAGGCCUUUGGGUUGUAAAGCUCUUUCGUCGGGGAAGAAAAUGACUGUACCCGAAUAAGAAGGUCCGGCUAACUUCGUGCCAGCAGCCGCGGUAAUACGAAGGGACCUAGCGUAGUUCGGAAUUACUGGGCUUAAAGAGUUCGUAGGUGGUUAAAAAAGUUGGUGGUGAAAUCCCAGAGCUUAACUCUGGAACUGCCAUCAAAACUUUUUAGCUAGAGUAUGAUAGAGGAAAGCAGAAUUUCUAGUGUAGAGGUGAAAUUCGUAGAUAUUAGAAAGAAUACCAAUUGCGAAGGCAGCUUUCUGGAUCAUUACUGACGCUGAGGAA
rnacentral:rRNA from 1 species